CAGUAGCCACGGUAAUACGAAGGGUGCAAGCGUUAAUCGGAAUUACUGGGCGUAAAGCGUGCGUAGGCGGUUUGUUAAGUCUGUUGUGAAAUCCCCGAGCUCAACCUGGGAAUGGCAAUGGAUACUGGCAAGCUAGAGUGUGUCAGAGGAUGGUGGAAUUCCCGGUGUAGCGGUGAAAUGCGUAGAGAUCGGGAGGAACAUCAGUGGCGAAGGCGGCCAUCUGGGACAACACUGACGCUGAGGCACGAAAGCGUGGGGAGCAAACAGGAUUAGAUACCCCGGUAGUCCCUGUCUCUUAUAU
rnacentral:rRNA from 1 species